rnacentral:rRNA from 2 species
AGACCGAUAGCGAACAAGUACCGUGAGGGAAAGAUGAAAAGAACUUUGAAAAGAGAGUUAAACAGUAUGUGAAAUUGUUAAAAGGGAACCGUUUGGAGCCAGACUGGUUUGACUGUAAUCAACCUAGAAUUCGUUCUGGGUGCACUUGCAGUCUAUACCUGCCAACAACAGUUUGAUUUGGAGGAAAAAAUUAGUAGGAAUGUAGCCUCUCGAGGUGUUAUAGCCUACUAUCAUACUCUGGAUUGGACUGAGGAACGCAGCGAAUGCCAUUAGGCGAGAUUGCUGGGUGCUUUCGCUAAUAAAUGUUAGAAUUUCUGCUUCGGGUGGUGCUAAUGUUUAAAGGAGGAACACAUCUAGUAUAUUUUUUAUUCGCUUAGGUUGUUGGCUUAAUGACUCUAAAUGACCCGUCUUGAAACACGGACCAAG